rnacentral:misc_RNA from 1 species
AAGUCGUAACAAGGUUUCCGUAGGUGAACCUGCGGAAGGAUCAUUAAAGAAUCGCCCCGUUUUUUGAAAUGGGUUCUAUUCCCAAACCGUGUCUACAUACCUUUGUUGCUUUGGCAGGCCGCCGCUUCGGCGUUGGCUCCGGCUAACUGCGCCUGCCAGAGGACCCAAACUCGUUUAUCUAGUGAUGUCUGAGUACUAUAUAAUAGUUAAAA